GAAGUUGUAGCUCAGUGGUAGAGCGUCGAUCUAGUAACUCGAAAGUCGAGGGUUCGAAGCCCAUGAGCCGCG